UACGGAGGGGGCUAGCGUUGUUCGGAAUUACUGGGCGUAAAGGGCUCGUAGGCGGCCAACUAAGUCAUACGUGAAAUCCCUCAGCUUAACUGGGGAACUGCGUGUGAUACUGGAUGGCUUGGAUUUGGGAGAGGGAUGCGGAAUUCCAGGUGUAGCGGUGAAAUGCGUAGAUAUCUGGAGGAACACCGGUGGCGAAGGCGGCAUCCUGGACCAAUAUUGACGCUGAGGAGCGAAAGCCAGGGGAGCAAACGGG
rnacentral:rRNA from 1 species